rnacentral:rRNA from 1 species
AUUGAACGCUGGCGGCCGGCCUAACACAUGCAAGUCGAACGAGUGGCGGACGGGUGAGUAAUGUCUGGGAAACUGCCUGAUGGAGGGGGAUAAAUACUGGAAACGGUAGCUAAUACCGCAUACCAUCGGAUGUUCCCAGAUGGGAUUAGCUAGUAGGGGGGGUAAAGGCUCAACUAGGCGACGAUCCCUAGCUGUUCUUAGAGGAUGACCAGCCACACUGGAACUGAGACACGGUCCAGACGCCUGAGGGAGGCAGCAGUGGGGAAUAUUGCACAAGGGGCGCAAGCCUGAUGCAGCCAGGCCGCGUGUAUGAAGAAGGCCUUCGGGUGGUAAAGUACUUUCAGCGGGGAGGCGUUACCCGCAGAAGAAGCACCGGCUAACUCCGUUCCAGCAGCCGCGGUAAUAC